AGUAACGGCGAGUGAAGCGGUAACAGCUCAAAUUUGAAAUCUGGCUCCCUGCGGAGUCCGAGUUGUAAUUUGUAGAAGAUGCUUUGGGUGCACGACCCGGCCUAAGUGCCUUGGAACAGGACGUCGUAGAGGGUGAGAAUCCCGUAUGCGGCCGGCGUCGACGCCCGUGUAAAGCUCUUUCGACGAGUCGAGUUGUUUGGGAAUGCAGCUCAAAAUGGGUGGUAAAUUUCAUCUAAAGCUAAAUAUGGGCCAGAGACCGAUAGCGCACAAGUAGAGUGAUCGAAAGAUGAAAAGCACUUUGGAAAGAGAGUUAAACAGUACGUGAAAUUGUUGAAAGGGAAGCGCUUGCAACCAGACUUGGGCGUCGCUGAUCAUCCAAAGUUCUCUUUGGUGCACUCGACGACGCACAGGCCAGCAUCGGUUGGGGUGGUGGGAGAAAGACUGUAGGAACGUAGCUCUUUUCGGAGAGUGUUAUAGCCUGCGGUGCAAUACUGCCUACCUCGACCGAGGACCGCGCUUCGGCUAGGAUGCUGGCGUAAUGGUUGUAAGCGACCCGUCUUGAAACACGGACCAAGGAGUCUAACAUCUAUGCGAGUGUUUGGGUGCGAAACCCAUGCGCGAAAUGAAAGUGAACGUAGGUGAGAACCCUUUGAGGGGGCAUCAUCGACCGAUCCUGAUGUCUUCGGAUGGAUUUGAGUAAGAGCAUAGCUGUUGGGA
rnacentral:rRNA from 1 species